CUCUGUCUCUCCUGCCACCAUGUGAAGAAGGUGCUUGUUUCCCCUUUGCCUUCCGCCAUGAGUGUAAGUUUCCUGAGGUCUCCCAGUCAUACUGCUGGUUAAGCCUGCAGAACGGCUGGUCUUGAACUCCCAGCCUCAAGCCAUCCUCCCGCCUUGGCCUUUCAAAGUGCUGGAUUACAAGCGUGAGCCACCGUGCACAGCCAAGACACAAUUUUAAAUCGAGCGGUCAGGAAGCCUCCUGGAGAAAAUGACGUUUGAACAAAGACAUGAAGAAAGUGGAGAAUAUUUGGAGAAAAGCAUUUCAGGCAGAGGAAAGUGCCAGGGCAGAGGCCCCGAGGUGCUGCUGACAGCCAUCGUGUGCUGCGGAGGAAGAUUGCCUGAGAAUGGAGCCAUUCAGGAGGAAAUGGGGCAGAGAAAUAAAGAGAAAUCAAAUCCCAUCUUUUCAGUCCCGCUUCCCUCACUCCCUCAUCCAUUCUUCCUGGCAGACUAUUCAGUUGUGCUUUUUAAGAUUUAUUCUGUUUUUGUUUUUCACCUAAGACGGUUUAGCUUGUUUGUUUUUCUCUUGUUUGCAACCAGUGUGUUCUAGCGGUUAUUACGAAUUUAAUAGACUUUAUACAAGAUUUUGUAAAGGGCAGAAAACUCAAGAUUGGACAGUGACUUUCUCCUAGGACACUAUCUUGCCGGUGCCCUCACCUCAGUCUCCACCCUGGAUCUCCGAUUUUGUCCCUGAAACUUCAAAUUCUUUUCCUUCAAUUAUACAAUGCAGCAGCUCUCCUUUCAGUAGUGCUACUUUGUACCCUACCCUGGGGAAGAGGUAGCUCAUAUUCGAACCUGAGCUCUUGGCAAGGUCUUUUUCCAGAUCUAAGGCAGUUCCCUUCCUAAGGGAGAGUCAGAUGCCACUGAGGAGAGAGAAAGGUAGUCGGAGGGAAUGUUAUGGCAGACACUGUGGUUGCUCACUAAUGUAACAUCCCUUCUCUUCUUCCUUGCUGUAAGGACUCUAAUCUUGUUCCGGGAUUUAAGGAAGGUGGGUUCAGCCUCUGGCUUAGAGGAUGGGCAUGUAACCCAGUCUGACCAGCAAGGUAUAAAGGUCAAUUUAUGGGCAGUCUGGGAAAGUUUUUCUUCCCCGAUAAGAGGAAAACAUAAGGGGAUCUCUCUGCUCUAAGCCUCCAAUUACUUCCUUCUCCAAAAGCAGUUAUGUGAGGAUGUGAUGCCUGGAGCUGUGGAAGCCAUUUUGUGACCAUGAGGAGAAAGCCAAGAGAAUAACAGAGACACUAUCCCAAUGUCCUGAGUAUUGUUCAGCUAUGAAACUAACCCUGGAAACUCCUUGGGCCACAUAGUAGAUAUUUUAAGUUUUGCCAGCCAUAUGUCUCUGUCAUGACUACUAAACUCUUCAUUUAUAUCGUGACAGCAGCCUUUGACAAUAUGUUAACAAAUGGAUGUGACUAUGUUCUGAGAAAACUUCAUUUUCAAAAACGGGCUAAGGGCCAGAUUUGCCCUGUGUGCCACUGUUUGGCACAACCUGUAUUUUUGGCCAUAUUAGCUGGAUUUGCAGUUACUUGCACUCAAAGCAUUUCUAACAGAGCAUGUAUGGGCUGCCCUAGAGGGCAGUCUCUCACCCCAAACACAGCUGUGCUCACAGGCUCAAUUGCCACUUGCUGGAAGCAACAGCUUAUUUUCUUCUGUCUACCAACAUUCAUUCACUCAACAAACGUCUAUUGAGUGCCUACUCUGUGUCAGGAACUGUUCUGAUGCUGGGGCUAAAAUAGGAGAUGUUGAACCCUUUCCUUGGGGAGUUCUCUUUAUAUAACAUUGGGAAUCAAGAAAGCCUUCCUAGAGGAGGUGAUAACUAAGUUAGCUCUGAAGGGUGAAUAAGAGUUAGGAAGAUAAAGGGCAAAACAUGUGGGCCUGGGCGGGUAGGAGGGCAUUCCAGGCAAAAGUAAGAGGGGACAUGGCGCAUAUGUGAUUAGAAAAUGGAAAAUGAGGGAAAGAGUGGAGGAGAGUGAGGCCAGAGAGGUUAAAUGAGACCAGAUCACAUGUGAGCUGGUAGGUCAUUGGUUUUCACAGUGAGAUGGGGCGAUUGAUUGGAGGUCUUUGAACAGAGGGGGACAUCAACCACUGACAGCUGCCUGGGCUAGGGUGAUGAAGAGGUCAUGAACAGGAGAUGGCCUUGAGAGAUUCCAAGGGGUAAAAUAGGACUCGAGGAUAAAGCAGAUGAGGGAAGUGUCUAGGAUGACAUGCAGGGUUCUGAUUCUUAACUAUUUUGUUGUAUCUCUAAAGAAAUAGACAUAGAGCAGAGGAGAAUUCAGAAAGUUUUUUUUGUUUGUUUUUGAGACAGAGUCUCACUCUGUCAUCCAGGCUGGAGUGCAGUGGCGAGAUCUCGGCUCGCUGCAACCUCCACCUUCCAGGUUUAUGUGAUUCUCCUGCCUCAGCUUCCUGAGUAUCUGGGACUAUAGGCACCCGCCACCACGCCUGGCUAAUUUUUGUAUUUUGAGUGGAGACGGGCUUUCACCUGGUCUCAAACUCCUGACCUCAGGUGAUCUGCCCGCCUUGGUUUCUCAAAGUGCUGGGAUUACAGGCAUGAGCCACUGUGCCCAGCCCAGAAAGUAUUUUUGAGGCCUUUGUGCAGUGGCUUUAUCAGAAACAAAGGAGCAAAAAAUAGACAGGAGCUUGGGCUCCUACCUCAUAAUCAAGUUUUGCCUUGCAUUUGUCCCAGAAAAUUCACUGGAUUAAUUGGACUUCAGCACAAUUGUCUUAAUUUAUAGCAUUAAGUAAAAUCUAUAUAUGUCAAGAUGCAAAGUGCAGGAAUGUAAUGGGGACUGUCACAGAGGCUGCUACAUCUGCAGUAUUCUUUCCUAACUGCCUAAGACCAUGGGGGAGGACAUGGUCUAAGAGCUAUGCAGGAACUAGGAAGGGACCUGGGCCUCGACCAAAAUUACAUGAGAACACCAUGUGUGCCAGGCAGUCCCUGAGUCCAGGGACUAUUUUACUAACGACUAACACUCUACUCUACUAAUCUAUUUUAAAAUUUCAUUUUAAUGGUUAUCAAAAUACUGCAGAUACAUUGAUUUUUUUAAAAAAAAGUCAAACAGUCCUUAUAUUUGCUAUGGAUUGCACAUGGCUGCAAGUAACAGAAAACCCGGUUGCUGGUAACAUAAACUAUAAGAAUUGAUUUUAAUAUUUUUGUGUUAUUCACAACCAGAGGUCCAGACGUGAGCAGUUUGUUAAGUGGCUCAACAGCAUCAGGUCAGAUGUGUUUCCAUUUUCUUGGCCUUUCCCUCAUGAUCACAAGAUGGCUGCUGCAGCUCCUUAAGUCAUCAAUCACAUCUGUGUUCCAGGCAGAAGGAAGGUAGCAAAGACUUUCCCAGAAAUCCCCAGCAGGUUUCUGAUUGUGUUAUUGGCAAGAGCUGUGUCUUAAUUACCCCCAGCUGCAAGGGAGUUUAAGAUGGUGAGAGUUUUUCUUUUUUUUAGCUUUUCAGCCUGUAUAGUAGAAAGUCAAGAUAAAGGAGGUUGGGAUGGGUGUCAAGUGGUCAGUAUCCACCAUGGUCCCCGUUCCCUGUCCCACCUCUCCUUAUCCUGAGUUCUCACUCUCCUGAAGUAAUUCUCUUCCUCCAUUUUUCUAAAUAAAAUGUUUAUUCUGUAAUUUCUUGAUUUUUUCCUCCAUUCAGAUACUGAUUGUCUCUCAACUAUGAAAGGUAAAGAUAUCUUCCCUCAUCACUAUCCCCACAUGCCACGCACAUGCCACACACACACACAGUCUUCACCACUUCA
rnacentral:lncRNA from 1 species